rnacentral:lncRNA from 1 species
GAUGGGUCAUAUCUAGCAUUGAUUGCUCUAAUUUAAAGAUAUUUGAUGUAGUAGGCUUUGUGGCAGGUCUAAUCUUUAAAUGUUCCUAUAUGCAAUUUUUCAGCCAAUGGGUAGAGCCUAGCUGCUAACCUCAUCAGGAUUUGGGGGUUUAUACGCGGCCGAUACACUGAAAUCAUCACACCCUUGUUAAAUUUGGAUCAUGCUGCCCAACUAUAGAACUUCAAUGUGUAGUGUUCAACUAUGGAACUACCCUGCACCAGCUGGGUAGAUUGGAGAUAAACCUGUUGUUAAUGAUAGUUGGAAAUUGGAACAAGAUACCUCAUUAAGUUAUCUUCAUGUCCUCCAAAGUUUGAAUAGUCACGUAAUUGCUUUGUUGACAUUUGGCCCACCAUAUCUGUGUUGGCCCGUUCAACUUUGCUUUUGCAAAUAGGAGUUGAUGCUCCAUUGCAAGCUGGUACCACUUGAAGUAGUUUUCAAGAGCAUGAAUGUAAUCCAGGAAGACCUCUGGAUCGCGUCUCUCAUGAAAAUCAGCUACCUUGAGUGUUGCUUUAUGAUUCAUCGCAGUAACUCUUUGAUCUCCUAUUGCUUGAGCAUGGGUUUUUAGGGAGGUGCUUGAACAUGAGUCUCUGAGAAGAACCAAUUUUGAUGUGUUGAUUCAAGGGCUUGCUUUAUUUCAUCUAAUGAAGUUUUUAAUGAAUUUGUGUUCUCUCGAAGAUGAGCAACUUGUUGUUUAGUGUCCUCAUAGUCUUGGACAAGGGAUCACAGUAACUCUAUGAUCUCCUAUUGCUUGAGCAUGGGUUUUUAGGGAGAUGCUUGAACAUGAGACUCUGAGAAGUACGAAUUUUGAUGUGUUGAUUCAAGGGCAGGCUUUAUUUCAUCUAAGGAGGUUUUUAAUGAAUUCUUGUCCUCUUGAAGAUGAGCAACUUGUUGUUUAGUGUCUUCGUAAGGCCACGAACUGAUUGUUUACUUUGGCAUUGGAUAACAUGGUGGAAGAAAGAAGGGAGUUCAAGAAAGAAGGAAAGGGAGGAAAAGAGCAAACAAUGGAGUAGAAUUGUUAUGCUUCGACGUCAAAGUGAUGUAGAUCAGCUUAGGAGGUCACCUACAAUAGUGUAGUUGGGCCUUAGAUGUGGGAGAAAUUGGGGACAAGUAGUUUGUGUUGCCUUGCUGUCCAAUCGCAGAAAACAGGGUAGAAAUGAAUACUUUAGUGGUUUGAAGGAAAGAUGAAAGCUUUCUAGGUCCGACCUAGAGUUUGGGGACUGUUGUUGUUAGGAAACUCUUUUUUAGAGUUUUAGGGUUAAAAUAUAAGAUUUGAUGUUGACCUGAAAUUUAAUUCAGGCAGUGAUACAAAUAUUUGCAGAUUUGGAGAGAGGAUAGGGAAAAAUAAGAGAAAGUAAAGGAUUUGAGAGAUGAAGUGGCAGUAGGGGAAUAGAUGGUACUAAAGAGAUGGAAAGAAAGAGAGAGCAAGGAGAGAUAUCACUCUUUUACUCAAAAACAUGUAAUCAUACAACCUAUGACAUCCUUUCAUGAUCCCAUACAUUAUAUGUAGAGUCCACAUGACUUGGGGACUAAGCGAAUAAAUAAAAUGGAUAACUUGCAGAUCGAGUAACUUAAAAGCUUGGCUGCAAAGUAGUUUAGAGUAUAACUUACUUGAGGACCAAGAAACUUAAAUAUAUUAACGGAACAUAUGACUUGGGAUGCAAGCAACUUGUAUGUCGAGUAACUUAAGGGUCAGGUAAUCUAAUAUUAUACCUCUGGACAAAUAGAUGGUUUGUUAAUGAUGAAAUCUAGAUGUCAAGUGCUGCAUUUGAUUCCACUAGAUCUCUAUGUAGCAAGAUAAGGGCCUAAAAAAAUAGCCCUCCAUGUUCUUCAUGGAGCAAUUAGAGCCCUUAAUUGUUUCGAGCCCCCUUUUGCUACACCAAGAGGAUAGGAGUAAGACAUGUCAGAUUAGGUGAGGCAAGAAAUUAGAGAGGAAGAAGUAGAAAGA